rnacentral:rRNA from 1 species
GUGGGGAAUAUUGGUCAAUGGGCGCGAGCCUGAACCAGCCAAGUAGCGUGCAGGAUGACGGCCCUAUGGGUUGUAAACUGCUUUUAUGCGGGGAUAAAGUGCACCACGUGUGGUGUUUUGUAGGUACCGCAUGAAUAAGGACCGGCUAAUUCCGUGCCAGCAGCCGCGGUAAUACGGAAGGUCCGGGCGUUAUCCGGAUUUAUUGGGUUUAAAGGGAGCGCAGGCUGAUUGUUAAGCGUGACGUGAAAUGUAGCCGCUCAACGGCUGAACUGCGUCGCGAACUGGCAGUCUUGAGUGAGUACGACGUCAGCGGAAUUCGUGGUGUAGCGGUGAAAUGCUUAGAUAUCACGAAGAACCCCGAUUGCGAAGGCAGCUGACGAGUCCUUUACUGACGCUAAAGCUCGAAGGUGCGGGUAUCGAACAGG